rnacentral:rRNA from 1 species
GCCUAAUAUCUAGCCCCCCCCCMCUUAUCCCAUGAAUCUAAAAAUUAAAUAAAUCAACCAAAACAUUUUUAUAACUUAGUAAAGGCGAUCAAAAAUUUAGCAGGAGCAAUACAAAUAGUACCGCAAGGGAAAGAUGAAAUAAAAAUGAAAUAAAUUCAAGCACAAAAAAGUAGAGAUUUUUACUCGUACCUUUUGCAUCAUGGUUUAACUAGUUAAAUUAAGCAAAAUGAUUUGUAGUUUAACUUCCCGAAACUAAGCGAGCUACUUCAAGGCAGCUUACUGAGCAAACCCGUCUCUGUUGCAAAAGAGUGGGAAGACCUUUAAAUAGAGGUGACAGACCUAACGAGCUUAGUGAUAGCUGGUUGCUCGAGAAAAGGAUUUAAGUCCAACCUAAAGCCUUUAUUGAUGCCACAAAAUAUUUCAAUUGCUUUAGAGAAAUUCAAAUAAGGGACAGCCUAUUUGAAACAGGAUACAACCUCCAAAGACGGGUAAUUAUUUAUUUCAAACAACUAAGUAGGCUUAAAAGCAGCCACCUUUAAAAUAGCGUCAUAGCCUCAUUUCUUUUUAUUACAGAUACCAUAAGUAAUUUAGAACCCUCCUUCACUAUCGAGCACUUCUAUAUUUUAUAUAGAAUUUUUUAUGUUAAAACUAGUAACAAGAAGCAGAACUUCACUUAAAUGUAUGUAUAACUCAGAAAGGACACACCACUGAAUAUUAACAUUCAUGAAUAAACAUUAACAACUCUACAAGAAAAUCCUAAUUCACGCCAUGUUAACCUAACACUAGAACAUUUCAAGUAAGAUUAAAAGAAAAAGAAGGAACUCGGCAAAUAUUGACCUCGCCUGUUUACCAAAAACAUCGCCUCUUGAUUAAAUAUAAGAGGUCCAGCCUGCCCAGUGACUCUGUUCAACGGCCGCGGUAUCCUAACCGUGCGAAGGUAGCGUAAUCACUUGUUCUUUAAAUGAGGACUCGUAUGAAUGGCACCACGAAGGUUAUACUGUCUCCUUUUUCUAAUCAGUGAAACUAAUCUCCCCGUGAAGAAGCGGGGAUAAAUAUAUAAGACGAGAAGACCCUAUGGAGCUUUAAACUAAAUAACACAUGUUUUCCAAAUAUUUUUAUCCCAGGAACAUAAUAAUAAUUUAACCUGCUGAUUACUAGUUUUAGGUUGGGGUGACCGCGGAGCAUAAAAAAACCUCCACACUGAAUGGGAAUUUCCCUGAGCCACGAACCACAAUUCUAAGCACUAAAUUAAUUAACACUCAUUGACCCAAUAUAUUGAUCAACGAACCAAGUUACCCUAGGGAUAACAGCGCAAUCUGCUUCAAGAGCUCCCAUCGACAAGCAGGUUUACGACCUCGAUGUUGGAUCAGGAUAUCCCAGUGGUGCAGCCGCUACUAAGGGUUCGUUUGUUCAACGAUUAAAAUCCUACGUGAUCUGAUU